rnacentral:rRNA from 1 species
GACGAACGCUGGCGGCGUGCUUAACACAUGCAAGUCGAACGGAAAGGCCCUGCUUUUGUGGGGUGCUCGAGUGGCGAACGGGUGAGUAACACGUGAGUAACCUGCCCUUGACUUUGGGAUAACUUCGGGAAACUGGGGCUAAUACCGGAUAGGAGCUCCUGCUGCAUGGUGGGGGUUGGAAAGUUUCGGCGGUUGGGGAUGGACUCGCGGCUUAUCAGCUGGUUGGUGGGGUAGUGGCUUACCAAGGCUUUGACGGGUAGCCGGCCUGAGAGGGUGACCGGCGACAUUGGGACUGAGAUACGGCCCAGACUCCUACGGGAGGCAGCAGUGGGGAAUAUUGCACAAUGGGCGGAAGCCUGAUGCAGCAACGCCGCGUGCGGGAUGACGGCCUUCGGGUUGUAAACCGCUUUCGCCUGUGACGAAGCGUGAGUGACGGUAAUGGGUAAAGAAGCACCGGCUAACUACGUG